rnacentral:rRNA from 1 species
GACGAACGCUGGCGGCGUGCUUAACACAUGCAAGUCGAACGGAAAGGCCCUGCUUUUGUGGGGUGCUCGAGUGGCGAACGGGUGAGUAACACGUGAGUAACCUGCCCUUGACUUUGGGAUAACUUCAGGAAACUGGGGCUAAUACCGGAUAGGAGCUCCUGCUGCAUGGUGGGGGUUGGAAAGUUUCGGCGGUUGGGGAUGGACUCGCGGCUUAUCAGCUUGUUGGUGGGGUAGUGGCUUACCAAGGCUUUGACGGGUAGCCGGCCUGAGAGGGUGACCGGCAACAUUGGGACUGAGAUACGGCCCAGACGCCUACGGGAGGCAGCAGUGGGGAAUAUUGCACAAUGGGCGGAAGCCUGAUGCAGCAACGCCGCGUGCGGGAUGACGGCCUUCGGGUUGUAAACCGCUUUCGCCUGUGACGAAGCGUGAGUGACGGUAAUGGGUAAAGAAGCACCGGCUAACUACGUG